GACCUUAGUUGCCAGCAUUCAGUUGGGCACUCUAAGGUGACUGCCGGCUAAAAGUCGGAGGAAGGUGGGGAUGACGUCAAAUCAUCAUGCCCCUUAUGACCUGGGCUACACACGUGCUACAAUGGGCGGUACAAAGGGUCGCGAACCCGCGAGGGGGAGCCAAUCCCAAAAAGCCGCUCUCAGUUCGGAUUGCAGGCUGCAACUCGCCUGCAUGAAGCCGGAAUCGCUAGUAAUCGCGGAUCAGCAUGCCGCGGUGAAUACGGUUCCCGGGCCUU
rnacentral:rRNA from 1 species